rnacentral:lncRNA from 1 species
GAAUUCCAGCUUAGGUGACAGAAUGAGACCCUGUCUCUCUAAAAAACAAGCAAGCAAACAAACCAAAAACCACAAACAAACCAGAUCCCUCUUAGCAGAAUACUUCCAUGAGGUAAUAAAAGGUUUAAUUUAUUUCAGAAGUUUCUAGAUUUUAUUGUCUCUAUUUAGCCAAAGCUACAAGAAAAAUCAAAUUCAUAUCUUUAAAUGCUUUCAUUAUCAAUCAAGAAAGAAGAAAGUGAAACGAACAAACAAUUUUACUCAAGAAACUAGUGAGAAAUCAAAGAAAUGUCCAAGAAGUAGGAUACAAGAAUUAAUCAAAACAGAUUAACAGUGGAAUAAAUAAAUGAAUCCAA